rnacentral:rRNA from 1 species
UACGUGGGGGGCGAGCGUUGUCCGGAUUUAUUGGGCAUAAAGAGCUCGUAGGCGGUUCGAUAAGUCGGACGUGAAAUCUCCACGCUCAACGUGGAGGGGCCGUUCGAUACUGUCGUGACUCGAGUCCGGUAGGGGAGUGUGGAAUUCCCGGUGUAGCGGUGAAAUGCGCAGAGAUCGGGAGGAACACCCGUAGCGAAGGCGGCACUCUGGGCCGGUACUGACGCUGAGGAGCGAAAGCGUGGGGAGCAAACAGG